AAAAAUAUACGUCGGUGCAGUGUGGUCAUCCUACAGUCAAACAUUAUUAUUUCUUUUAUUACCUAGUAUUUUUUUACUAAGCUUGCAUUAGGUGGAUUUAGAAUAGUUAAUUAUUAGAUGUGCACCUGGUAAUUACUAGACCACAAUCCUACACGUGCCCUCUCCCUUUCUCAAUUUCCAAGUCUCUCUCUCUCUCUCCUGUACUAGUCCUCCACCGAACACAACACACACCAGUACUAGUCCACCAAGAACAGAACACACGUACAUGUCUUCUCUCCCUCCUAUUCCUCUGCUCCUAAUCUAGCCAGACCGGCCAUGCCGCCGGCGACGGGGAAACAUGCUGCUCCGUCGCUGCUGGCCCUUCCACCCUCUCUCUCUCCCCUGAUCCAAAUCCCUUAUUUUUUUCAGGAUUCAGCCCCAAACUCUCUAAUCCCCUCUCAGAUUUGACUUGCAGGUGAGGCUCUCGUUGGGCUGUGAUUCCGCUGCUCCAGAUCGAAGCUGCCGGCGUUGGCGGCCGCGGUGCCGCUGGGUGUUGCAGAUCAGAGUUCCAAGGGCAUGGCCAUGGAGCAGAUCGAGCAUAAGUGCAGGUAGAGAGAUGAAGACAGUGGGAGGAAGACAAGCUGAUGGUCUGGCUAUUUGGGGAAGAAUGGAGACGUGUGAAGUCUUAGGAGUGGCUUGCUCUUCUCUUUCCCCUCUUAAUAUCAGAAAUCCAUCUCCCUUGGCUGGUAUGGCUGCCCAUUCCUUCUCUAGUGUGUUGCCUUUGUGGAGCCUUUCUAUUGGCUAGGAGUUGCAGCCCAUGCCUAGACUACUGAUAUACAUAUUAUGCACAUGAUGGUGGUUGUCAAAUGUGUAUCUCAAAUGUGUCUUGCUGUCCUAGUUGACCCAGAGAUAUUUGUGUUGGUCUAAGUUUGUGUUGGUCUCAUCUCCCUAUAUUUUGUUUUACCCAAGAAUUGUAACACACAUGUACUGUUGUACUGUUGAGGUGUGUGAAUAUAUAUAUAUAUAUAUAUUUGAGUGGUUAUGUUUGUUGAAGAAA